CCACCCCUUCCAGACAUUCAUCCGCUUAUAAUAUAUCCUGCACGCGUGCCCAUCUUCUCCUCCCUCUCUCUCUCUCUCUCUCUUCUCUCUCUCUGGUGUUUCUCCACACCCGAUUCGAUUCCUGUUCUCUCUCCAACACCGCCGGGAAAACCCGGAAAGGAAGAAGAAGGGAAGGAACAGCGAACGGAAUUCUGAUCCUCCGACGACCGCCGGGAAGAGGAAGAGAGGCGCGAUGCCGUUCUGCGAGGUGCGCAACAAUGGCAUUAAGCUCUUCUACCGGACCUACGGCGCCGGACCCGUCAAAGUCCUCCUCAUCAUCGGAUUGGCCGGGACCCACGAGUCUUGGGGUCCCCAGAUUAGGGGGCUGGCGGGCACGGACGCGCCCAACGACGGCGGCGGCGAUCCGGCGGCCGUCGAGGGCGGAGCCGGCAAUGGGAGCGGCGGGGACGGCGGCGGGAUCGAGGUCUGCGCCUUCGAUAAUCGCGGCAUGGGUCGGAGCUCCGUGCCCACCAAGAAGGCAUCGUACACAACAAAGAUAAUGGCAAAAGAUGCAAUCGCGAUAAUGGAUCAUUUGGGCUGGAAGGAAGCCCAUGUCUUUGGCCAUUCAAUGGGGGCGAUGAUCGCUUGCAAACUGGCUGCUAUGGUGCCCAACAGAAUUCUUUCACUAGCUGUUCUUAAUGUAACUGGUGGAGGUUUCGAAUGUUUUCCCAAGCUUGACCGGAAAACAGUAUCCAUCGCAUUUCGUUUCUUGAGGGCGAAAACUCCUGAACAGAGGGCAGCCGUGGACUUGGACACUCACUACUCAACGGAGUAUCUGGAGGAGUAUGUAGGGUCUACCACCCGCAGGGCAAUUCUAUACCAAGAAUACGUCAAAGCUAUAUCAGCAAGUGGGAUGCAAUCCCCUUAUGGCUUUGAGGGUCAAGUCAAUGCAUGCUGGAGACAUAAAAUGACCCCGAGAGAGAUUGAAAUGAUCCGUUCUACUGGAUUCCUUGUGUCUGUCAUCCAUGGAAGGCACGAUGUCAUAGCACAGAUGUAUUAUGCAAGGAGACUUGCAGAGAAGCUCCACCCAUUCGCUAGAAUGGUAGACCUUCAUGGAGGGCAUCUAGUGAGUCAUGAGAGGACUGGAGAGGUCAAUCAAGCUCUUCUUGAGUUGAUCAAGGCAUCCGAAAUGAAGGUCAGCCCAGAGGACUGGACUAACUUAACUACGAAAAGUCCUGGGUGGAUAAGGACAAAAUUCGCAUUAAUAAAUAACACCGGAGGUGGAAGCAACGUCUCUAUUGCGUACAGCAUGCUAGAGAGGCUACACAUUUUCCUGCUAUACUUCUUCAGCGUGUUUGUGUUGGUAUUUGAAUAUGGAAGAAAAGCCAUACGAAGCCUCAAGCCUGUCAAAGUCGGAGCUUCCCUGACAUAGCGACAUUCAGAGAAACCUCUUUUUAAUCGGUGAUUGUACAUUUAGCCAUUGAGUUUUUCUGAUCUUUUUACCUUAUCAGCAUCACUCUUAUUUACCGGAGCAGGUGGCUCGGUUGAGAAAACUAGCAUUUUAUGCGACAACAAAUGGAAAUUCAGGAGUGAAGAAGAACGAGAGACGCCAAUUCGUGGGCGGGUAUUUUCAAACCGGAGGACGAGAAGGAACUCAAACUUUCCGGGUUCUGUCUUCCAAGCGAGAGUCAAGAUGCAGUAAAUACUUCUGUAUCUAAGAGACAGAGGAAGCUUAAAAAACACCCUCUCUGUAAUACAGAAUGCUUUCUAAUACAUCUGCGGAUUAUUGAA